rnacentral:rRNA from 1 species
AUUGAACGCUAGCGGGAUGCCUUACACAUGCAAGUCGAACGGAGUGGCGAACGGGUGCGUAAUGUAUCGGAACGUGCCCAGUAGCGGGGGAUAACUACGCGAAAGCGUAGCUAAUACCGAAUACUAUGGGAGCGGACGAUAUCGGAUGAGCUAGUUGGUGGGGUAACGGCUAACCAAGGCGACGAUCCGUAGCUGGUUUGAGAGGACGAACAGCCACACUGGGACUGAGACCCGGCCCAGACUCCUACGGGAGGCAGCAGUUGGGAAUUUUGGACAAUGGGGGCAACCCUGAUCCAGCCAUCCCGCUUGUGCGAUGAAGGCCUUCGGUUUGUAAAGCACUUUUGGCAGGGAAGCGGUACCUGCAGAAUAAGCACCGGCUAACUCCGUGCCAGCAGCCGCGGUAAUUC